GCGUGCAGACAUGUAGUACUUGGGGGCAGGGAGAGAGGAGAGCGGGCAUCAGAAGGCUGGAGUCAAAUCUGCCCCCGCUGGAGCAGAUUUGGGUCUCGGGAAAACGCUGGCUACAACUUUUAUGCAGAUGAGUGCACACUGAGCGGUCUUUCAAUUGGCCUCUUUCUGGCUCCACCCCCUUAUGUAGAUGAGCAGAGCUGCUGCAAGAAAUUUCUGAGCCACACACUAGGAACGCAGAACUCUUCAAUCAGGGGCCGCAACCAUUACAAUUAGGAAGAGACCGGGCUUUUAGUACUGCGAAAGCCGAGACCCAGAGCCAGAAGCGGCUGAUUCAGCAGCAAAGGACAGGGAAGGGAGUUAUACCCGGCCUAGGUAUUUCCAGUCCAGAAGGUCGGAGAGGCGCUCGGUGCGGUUCCGCUGGAUAAUGCGCUGCCGCCGACUCUGCUGGCAGAAGCUGUAGAGGAAGGAGGUGAGCUGCGAGCAGGAAUCAUCCAGGCUGCGGAACCGCCGGUCCA